rnacentral:tmRNA from 1 species
GGGGCCGUAUCUGGUUUCGACGGGGAUACGGAGGGGUAGAGAAGCGAGCGGCAGCCCUGAACUGCCUCAUCAACGGGAACUUAAAUGAACUGACAACUACGAUAACGUAGAAUUCGCAGCUGCUUAAUGCGCGAACGUCGACCCUAAGCCUCCUGCGGCGUAGGUCAUCGGCGUCAUAAAGGCAGGGAACCAGCCGUCUUAAGCUUUGCGGACGGUGGGAUUUUAUGAAGCUACUGAUGCGCAGAUCCUGUUUGCGGGAGCUGCGCGGAGGGAAUGUUAAAACACAAACUGCGCUCGGAGAUGCUCUGGUCGUCUGAUCUUCGGACAGGAGUUCGACUCUCCUCGGCUCCACCA